rnacentral:lncRNA from 1 species
AUGUGCAUGUGUGCAAGUAGUAGGUAUAUGCAAACUCUGUAAUUUCCUUAAUUUUUUUCUGUGAAUCUAAAACUGCUUUAAAAAAAGUCUCUUAAAUUUCAUUGGGGAAUGCCAUAUGAAAGGCAGCAUAUGUCCAAAAAAAUCUAACUGUAUUAUAAACAGGUAAAAUAAUCUCCCUGAAGGAGGUGGAGAAAGGUAUGUAUCUAAGAAACUUUGGAAAUGAGUAGAAUCUAAAAAGACUAAACUCAAAGGGAAGUGAAAAUAAACAUUUCACUAUAGUUAAUAAACUUCCAUCUCCUGGGUACAGGUUAACAAUUCUGAUUGUGUUAGACACACAUACUGCAAUUAAUCAAGUAAGUAAAAAGAUGGCAGAUGGUAGAAGCCAGAUUUCUCAUUCCUGGAGUGGGAGUUUAUAGAUAUGCAAGAAGAGUAGGCUAGGAUUAUCCAUGUAAUGAAUUAAUGAAUUAAUAGAAUUAAUAGAGCUGGUAAUGAAUUAAUAGAGCUGGAGAUCUCAGCAUGAAUGUAUGUUUAGCAUAAUACAGACACAAAUGAUUACAUAUAGAAAUAUUUAUAGACAUGUAGAUAUACACAGGUUGGUAGCACAUAUAUUUUCUUUCUCUCUCAGCUGAGGGAGCCUAGAAGCACCAACACCCAGUAGCAAGGAGCAGGCCCAUCAUCCAGAUCUUGGUUUCUAAUGCAUUCUUCAAUAGAAGGAGCCAGUUGAUAAUAAAUAUGCACCCUUGUUAUGUUGUGAUGAGAACAGCAUUUUCUCUCUUGUUUCCCAUUAAAAAUGCAUUCCCCAAUCUAAUCAUGAGAAAAAUCAUAAACAAAUCCCAGUUGAGAGAUUUGCUACAAAAUAAUCUGACCAAUACUUCUCAAAACUAAUGAGGCCAUCAAAAACAGGAAAUCCAAAAAUUGUCACAACCAAGAGUUGCCCAAGAAGAAAUGAUGAGUAAAAAUAUUUUGGCAUCCUGGAUGGGAUCCCAAAAAAAAAGAAAAAGGACAAUAAGCAACAAAUAAGAAAAUUAGAAUAAAUUAUAGAAUUUAGCUAAUAAUAAUGUAUUAAAAGUUAAUUAGAUCAUAAUAAUGCUAGGAAAAUAGGGUGAGGGAUAUAUGGAUACUCUGUACUACCUUCAGAACUUUCUAAAAUAUAAAAAUGUUCUGAAAAUUUUAUAUUAAUUUUUUUCAAGUAUAGCAGGGAGAAUGAAUUAGAGCACAAACGGAGAAGAGACCAAGUCAAAAGGCUAUUGUAAUAAUCCAUGGACCAGAUGUUGGUGGUUCCUCCUAGGAAAUGCUAAUAAGGAUGGAAAAUGGCAGACAUCUUCCAGAAAUAUUUAGGAAUUAGAGUAAAAGUCACUAGCUAUUGAUUUGGGUAUAAAGGUACAGUAUCGAGGAGUUAAGGGUUACUUACAUACAGAUUUUGGUGACUGAAUGAAUAAUAAAGGCAAUUAUGUUUUAAGUGAGGUUUGAUGAAUUUUGAAAAAUUAUUUAAAAAAAAUUCAAACGAUUGCCUUAACAUUAGGCAAGUUAAGGCAGAGAACAUAUUAAUGUACUUGGCCAAUUCAGUUUUAUAGUAUGUUUAAAAUAGAUUUACUUCUGUCAUGAACACAUAGUCAAAUCAUUCAAAAUUGACAUAUUCAAUUUUCCCUCAUUGAGAUGAUUAGCACAUUUUAAAAUUGCUUUCCCUGGGGUACCUGGGUGGUUCAGUGGUUGAGCGCCUGCCUUUGGCUCAGAUCGUGAUCUCAGGGUCCUGGAAUUGAGUCCUACAUCAUGCUCCUCAUGGGGAGCCUGCUUCUCCCUCUGGCUAUGUCUCUGCCUCUCUCUCUCUCUCUCAUAAAUAAAUAAAUAAAACCUUAAAAAUAAGUAGAUAAGUAAAUAAAAUCGCUUUCCCAUCCAAAUUUGCAUACAUGGUUUCAAUGUUUGAAACUUAUAAAGAUAAAUAAAAAAUUUAAAUGGGUUACAAAAUUAUUUUAAAGCACCUUAGAGACCCUGCAUAUUCUUUUUUGAUUUUAUGUGAGAUAAUAAUGUUAAAUGAUUGAAAUGUUAGAUCAUUCUACCCUCCCUCAAGUAUAAUGUUAUAUGUAGGAAAGCUAAAGGGGAGAGAUAAAAUUGACACUUAACCUCCCCUAUAUAGAGUAAGGGCACAUGCCCCCUUCUACAGAUUAAUAAAUUCAGUGAAUGCUAUUAUUUAGCUUUAUAUAUUGAUCUAGUUUAAGGAAAAAAUAUCUUGGAUAAUAUUAGAUGUCAUAGAUAUAAGGCACAUUUCCUGACCCAAACAAAAGCAUCUAAACUAAAAAGAAAAUUAUUUUAUUAUACUAUGACCCAAUUAAUCAUUUGAAUGUCAACUAAUCCCUCCAAAUUAGGUUUUGUCAUAAAAGACAUUUCUGGCACAGAACUAGUAAAAAUGUGCUAAUGUUAUGAUGGAAAAAAUAAAACCUUCCUUCAAUUAAAAAAAAGAAAAAGCCAUAAAGCUGAUAAUAUCAUUAAAGGCAUGACUCUUAUUUCCUGAGUUUUAAAAACUAUUUUUGUUAACAGUUUAGGUGAAAUGGAUACAUCAACAGUGCCACGUAGAUAAUUUAUAUGUCAUGAUUCUUUGACAAUAGCUAGACUUGCUGAUGUGUUUCUUGAUAACACUGCAUUUUCACUUUAGGGAGUGAUAAGCUCCCUCUUGUAAAGCUGAUGUCAGCAAACUGGCCCAGUUUGAUCUUCAUAAGGUUAUGCUUUGAAAAUUAAUGGGACAGCUACAUAUAAAAUCAAAAUCAAUUCACUAUUUUCUGCAGUGGGAUAAGAAUGAAUUAUCCAAUAUAAAGUGUGGAAUGCAAUAAAGGCUGCAAUCUCAUCUCACUAUUCUUAUGUUUUUUUAAUAAACUACUCAUGCUUUUUUUCUUGCAGUUUAUGACAUCAAAGGGACUCUACUGUAAAAUUACAGCAAUAAAUUUCACCUUAUGCUGGACAGAUUUUAUUUCUUUUCUCUCUGUCAUCCUGUUUUGCAAAUAAUCAAGACAUGACAAAAUUGAUUAAAGAUUUAUCUCGCCUUCAUCAAAUACAAUAACUGCCUUGCUUAGUUAAAAAAAAAGGCAAUGUAAAAGCAGAGCUAAGUUUAGACUAAGUUGCUACUAUUUAACACUACUCAGAGAUGAAUUAUAUACAGGUAAACCAAAAUAGUUGCCUUUAUUAUCACUGAAUAUUUAAGUCCUUGGAGUCCAAGAAAAAGUGGAUUUCUUUAUUACCACUGGCAUUUGGCAAAAGUUGUUAAUCAGUUAUAAAAAAAAAUGCAUUGUUUACUACCAUCUGCUGUCACAUCUGUUUUACAAAUACAUGGCUCCAAAGAGAUUAUAUAUAGGUUGAAUAUAGAUAAGAUACUUCUAGAUAUAUUUCUGAAUGCUAAGGAAAUAUUUUUUUAAAUAUCUAACAUCUGAUUUUUUUAGAAUUUCAGAACACCAAAAAAAAUUAUUCUUUUUUUACAAAUUCUUGGAUAUAUUUACCUAUUUCCUCUAAGAACAUUGACAUCUAAUCAUUUUUAUGAUUCAUUAUAUAAUUGAAUUUUUAAAAACUUUCCUUAUCAUUAUCAAUCUUUUAACUAAAAUUAUAAAGAGGAUAUAAAAAUCUAUAUACAUUUAUAGUUUUAAUUUUUCUCUACUUUUCCCCUAUAACAAUAUUCAAUUUAUCCUGCAUGAUUUUAUUCUCAUCCCAACUGUUCACACAUAAAGACCCUGCUCACUUUCUACUCUUCCUGUUGCCUCAUAUCUUAUACCUGGUAUGCCCAUUUCUUUGAAGAUUCCUGCCUUGUUUUAUGUAUUGGAAAAUUCACCCUAUGGGGAGACAUAAUAGACAUCCCUACUCAUAGAUAACCCAGCAUAGCUUAUGAUGCUUGCUCUAUGAAUGUGCAAUAUAUACCAGUUUUUUUUUUAACUUUCACUGUUUUGUUGGAUAACACUUUUAACCACUCCUCUAUGUAUGUUAAGAUAUAGUCACUAGUCCUCUCUAACUCAUUCUGCCAUGAAAGAACAGAAUAUGGAAGGCUAUGGAGUAAUGCAUACAUAAGUAAGACAAAAAAAAUUCUAUAAAACACUCCUAUUAAGGAAACCAAUUUCCAGAAUUGAAAACACUGAACUUUAUAAAUAUAAAUUACAUAAUAAUAAUAAUAAUAAUAAUAAUAAUAAUAAUAAUAAUUUUCCUCAGGAUUUAAGGGAGGCCCACCAGUUCUGAGAUGUCCAAUACUACUAACAUCUCUCAGCUAAGUGGCACUUCCAUUGGUAAUGCAUUAAGUUAGCCUACAAAAUAUGAGAUUAUGAGGCCCCAGAAUUUCUUUCAGUGUCCUUAUCCAAUUCCUUCUCACAGAUAUUCCAAACCAACCCUUAUCCCUACUAAGCAUGAGUACUUUGUCACUCAAAUUUAUCCAAGCAUUUCUUCAUUUCCUAAACUUCUCUACAUUUUGCCUUUACCCUUUUCUCCUUUUGCCUCUCUGAUGAGAGCACUGCUUCCCCUUUGGCACUACCAAAUGUUGGCUCUUUUCCCCCUAACCACCAACCUCUAUCCCUCUUUACUCCUCACUAUUUUCACAACACUUAUCAGAGAUAAAAAAAAAGCUAAUGUUACAGUUGUCUAGAUUUAAAAUGUUAAUGUAACACACACAAAAAAUGAAUAAUUGUACGUCUGUUAAUAUUGUAUAAAACUAGUGGUAGAAUCAUUUAACUAUUACCAAUACUAAUUUGUCCUUAGCAAGAAUCCUUAAACAUAAAUUUAAACAUAAAAAUAAAGAAUUUUAAGACUAUCUAUGAAAAUUCUUUGCAACGUCUAUGUCUGCUGAAUGAGAAAUUUUCACACAUACUAUUUGGAUCCUUCAAUGCCAUCAAGAAUUGUUAUUAAAAAUAAUCAGAAAAAAAUCAGUAUGUAAGAUAGUAAGAGUUCUUUUUUUCUGUUGGUAAUAGAAAUAUUUGAAUGACCCUGAUGCUUCAACCAAAAUGUCAGAGGUUUUAAAACUGAUUUUUUUAAAAGAUUCUCAAAUUAAAAACCAAUUUAAAAUUUGUAGUUCUCUUGAAGGUUUUAGUAGCAUGCAAUGUUGAUAAAAUGCAAAGUGUGAAUUGAAAAAUCAUGUAAAAUUUAUGUACCUGUGAAGCUCAUUACAGAAAUAGGCUCAUAGUUCCAUUAAGCAGCAACACCUGCUUUUUUUUUUUUCUUUUCAGUUCUAGUUGCAGAGAGUAAAUUUAAUCUAUUGAACAAUUAAUCUGGUAACAUACAUUUUGUUUGAAAUAUACAUGAAAACUAGUUAUGGAAAAUGUUGACUCUGAAGUAAGCUUGUCUCUGUAAAGCUUUGUUUUUCAUUUUGAAGCAAAUGUGUUCUUGGUACAAUGCAUUAUCAAAGAACAUGUUUAAUGAUGAUUAAGAAAAAACACUUUACAGUUGUUAUCUGUUCUCAUUUUUAUUUUGAAACAUUUUUAAAAAUAAAAUAAGGUGAUUUUUUUUGAAGAAAAAUGACAGGAUUGUACACUAUUAUUUUUUUUGUACACUACUUUAAGAGAGAGAGGAAAAUAAUCAAUAAAUCCAUUUGCAUAUCUGGAUAGUUCUUGAAUAAUAGUAUUCAUUUUUAUCCAAAUAAAAAUGGAAAGGGAUUACUGUUUUUAAGUAUAUAUCCCACUCCAUAUAGGAAUAUGAGUCUUUAGAAAAUAGAGAAAAUUAUAUACAAUUGACAGAAUUUUAGGGAUUAAAUGAGAUUGUAUUUGUGUGGCUUGGAACUAUUGAAAAAUCCUCUUUGGGAUCCUCAUACUCUGC